GAUGAACGCUGGCGGUAUGCUUAACACAUGCAAGUCGAACGGACUCUUCGGAGUUAGUGGCGGACGGGUGAGUAACGCGUGAGAAUCUGGCUUUGGGUCCGGGACAACCACUGGAAACGGUGGCUAAUACCGGAUGUGCCGAGAGGUAAAAGAGAAAUUGCCUGAAGAUGAACUCGCGUCUGAUUAGCUAGUUGGUGAGGUAAAGGCUCACCAAGGCAGCGAUCAGUAGCUGGUCUGAGAGGAUGACCAGCCACACUGGGACUGAGACACGGCCCAGACUCCUACGGGAGGCAGCAGUGGGGAAUUUUCCGCAAUGGGCGAAAGCCUGACGGAGCAAUACCGCGUGAGGGAAGAAGGCUCUUGGGUUGUAAACCUCUUUUCUUAGGGAAGAACAAAAUGACGGUACCUAAGGAAUCAGCAUCGGCUAACUCCGUG
rnacentral:rRNA from 1 species